rnacentral:other from 1 species
UGACCCCUGCCGUGUUCGUGAUUGGAAGAUGUUCUUUGAUCCAACGCCUAAAGACGGGAACCUUCUCUGGCUUCGGUGUGCAAUUUCUGCUCGUACAGAAAAGCCUAAAGAAGCCAUAAGGGGCCCACGUAUCCAAACAGGUUCAAAGACCUGCCAACACGGCACUCUGGUGGGGGUUUC